rnacentral:rRNA from 1 species
UCACGGUAUGCCUGCCAGUGACCAUGUGUUCAACGGCCGCGGUAUUCUGACCGCGCGAAGGUAGCGUAAUCACUUGUUUUUUAAAUAAAGACUAGUAUGAACGGCCGCACGAGGACCUAACUGUCUCCUUAGUCCAAUCAGUGAAACUGAUCUCCUCGUGCAGAAGCGAGGAUUUUACCAUAAGACGAGAAGACCCUAUGGAGCUUUAAACUUUUAUUAAUUAUUUUCUUCACCCCCUCUAAGGAAUUAACAACCAAUUUAAUUUAUUUAAUAAAAGUUUUGGGUUGGGGCGACCAUGGAGAAAAAAAUAUCCUCCCUGAUGAAAACCUAACCAAGAGCCACAGCUCUAAGUAUUAAGACACUUAACUCCUAUUGACCCAUUUUAUGAUCAACGAACCAAGUUACCCUAGGGAUAACAGCGCAAUCCAUUUCAAGAGUCCCUAUCGACAAAUGGGUUUACGACCUCGAUGUUGGAUCAGGGCAUCCAAGUGGUGCAACCGCUACUAAAGGUUCGUUUGUUCAACGAUUAAAGCCCUACGUGAUCUGGUU